AUAAAUUAUCUGACCAAUUUUAUUGCUAAACCUUUGUUCACAUAAUUAAAUAUCUUGUCAUUUAGGAAUUUGACAGUUAACCAGAAGAUUUUUUACAGGGAGCUUUAGAGGAUACAAAACAGAAUGUUGGGUGGCCGUGAUGUCUGGGAGUCUUCAGGCUGUAUGGCAGAGGAUGUGCUUGAGGACAAUAAAGACACAAAUGGAUUCUCUGAGCAUGAACUCCUUGACAUCAUGUAUGACACCUGUAAAACUAACAACUCAGAAGUGUUGGCCUCUGCCAUCAUACGACACCUGCAGAGCCUGAUAGAAGAGAGUGCAGAGCAGGAAAAACUUUCUGCCCUCCGAGUCCUGCUUGACCCGCACCACCAGGACCCAGAGGUGAGCAGAGAGACGUUUCAUUCCACCAUGACGGAAUGGAUCGCACAGUGCAGUCACAACAGGUAAAACACAGGAUAUAUUUUAUGAUUAGAAGUGUUGUAUAAUCUGAAUAUU
rnacentral:lncRNA from 1 species